UAGGUUGGGGACAACCGCUGGAAACGGCGGCUAAUACCCGUGUGCCGAGGGUGAAAGGUUGAUUGCCUGUGAUGAGCUCGCGUCUGAUUAGCUAGUUGGUGUGGUAACAGCCCACCAAGGCGACGAUCAGUAGCUGGUCUGAGAGGAUGAUCAGCCACACUGGGACUGAGACACGGCCCAGACUCCUACGGGAGGCAGCAGUGGGGAAUUUUCCGCAAUGGGCGAAAGCCUGACGGAGCAAUACCGCGUGAGGGAGGAAGGCUCUUGGGUCGUAAACCUCUUUUCUCAGGGAAGAACACACUGACGGUACCUGUGGAAUAAGCAUCUGCUAACUCCGUGCCAGCAGCCGCGGUAAUACGGAGGAUGCAAGCGUUAUCCGGAAUGAUUGGGCGUAAAGCGUCCGCAGGUGGGUAUCUAAGUCUGCUGUUAAAGAGUCUAGCUCAACUCGAUAAAAGCAGUGGAAACUCCA
rnacentral:rRNA from 1 species